GACGAACGCUGGCGGCGUGCUUAACACAUGCAAGUCGAACGGAAAAGCCCUGCUUUUGUGGGGUGCUCGAGUGGCGAACGGGUGAGUAACACGUGAGUAACCUGCCCUUGACUUUGGGAUAACUUCAGGAAACUGGGGCUAAUACCGGAUAGGAGCUCCUGCUGCAUGGUGGGGGUUGGAAAGAUUCGGCGGUUGGGGAUGGACUCGCGGCUUAUCAGCUUGUUGGUGGGGUAGUGGCUUACCAAGGCUUUGACGGGUAGCCGGCCUGAGAGGGUGACCGGCCACAUUGGGACUGAGAUACGGCCCAGACUCCUACGGGAGGCAGCAGUGGGGAAUAUUGCACAAUGGGCGGAAGCCUGAUGCAGCAACGCCGCGUGCGGGAUGACGGCCUUCGGGUUGUAAACCGCUUUCGCCUGUGACGAAGCGUGAGUGACGGUAAUGGGUAAAGAAGCACCGGCUAACUACGUG
rnacentral:rRNA from 1 species